rnacentral:lncRNA from 1 species
AGCAGUGCAUAUAAAACUUUAAUAAGAGUCAGACAUACAAAUGAGCUUCGUUUUAUGCAAUGUUAACACAGGGGGAUUACGGUUUUCUGAGAAUGCAUCAUGUAAAGAAGGACUUGAAGGAACAGGGGAGAUUGUGGGAGUCUGUAAGAGAGCUCGUUCUAGGCAGGAAGCAGAAGGAGCCGAGGGAGACGUUUACCUGACUGCUGCAGGGGUAGUAUAUUGGCUGGCACAGCGGCAUAGGAUGAAUGGAGAA